AGCGGCAGGCUUAACACAUGCAAGUCGAGGGGUAGAAUGUCUUCGGAUGUUUGAGACCGGCGAACGGGUGCGUAACACGUAUGCAACCUACCUUUUACUGGGAGAUAGCCCGGAGAAAUCCGGAUUAAUAUCCCAUAUGCUCGUACGAUCUCCUGAUCGAGCGAGGAAAGCUCCGGCGGUAAAAGAUGGGCAUGCGUCCCAUUAGCUAGUUGGUGAGGUAAUGGCUCACCAAGGCUACGAUGGGUAGGGGGCCUGAGAGGGUGACCCCCCACACUGGUACUGAGACACGGACCAGACUCCUACGGGAGGCAGCAGUGAGGAAUAUUGGGCAAUGGAGGCAACUCUGACCCAGCCAUGCCGCGUGCAGGAUGACGGUCCUUUGGAUUGUAAACUGCUUUUAUUUGGGAAUAAACCCUUCUACGUGUAGAAGGCUGAAUGUACCAUUUGAAUAAGCACCGGCUAACUCCGUGCCAGCAGCCGCGGUAAUACGGAGGGUGCAAGCGUUAUCCGGAUUUAUUGGGUUUAAAGGGUCCGUAGGCGGAUCUUUAAGUCAGUGGUGAAAUCCUGCAGCUUAACUGUAGAAUUGCCAUUGAUACUGGAGAUCUUGAGUACACUGGAAGUAGGCGGAAUACGGCAUGUAGCGGUGAAAUGCAUAGAUAUGCCGUAGAACACCGAUUGCGAAGGCAGCUUACUAUCGUGUAACUGACGCUGAGGGACGAAAGCGUGGGUAGCGAACAGGAUUAGAUACCC
rnacentral:rRNA from 1 species